CCUACGGGGGGCAGCAGUGGGGAAUAUUGCACAAUGGGCGCAAGCCUGAUGCAGCCAUGCCGCGUGUGUGAAGAAGGCCUUCGGGUUGUAAAGCACUUUCAGCGGGGAGGAAGGCGUUAAGGUUAAUAACCUUGGCGAUUGACGUUACCCGCAGAAGAAGCACCGGCUAACUCCGUGCCAGCAGCCGCGGUAAUACGGAGGGUGCAAGCGUUAAUCGGAAUUACUGGGCGUAAAGCGCACGCAGGCGGUCUGUCAAGUCGGAUGUGAAAUCCCCGGGCUCAACCUGGGAACUGCAUUCGAAACUGGCAGGCUAGAGUCUUGUAGAGGGGGGUAGAAUUCCAGGUGUAGCGGUGAAAUGCGUAGAGAUCUGGAGGAAUACCGGUGGCGAAGGCGGCCCCCUGGACAAAGACUGACGCUCAGGUGCGAAAGCGUGGGGAGCAGACAGGAUUAGAUACCCUGGUAGUC
rnacentral:rRNA from 1 species